UAUCUCUGUAGAGUCUGCAUAUCAAUAAGCGGAGGAAAAGAAACUAACUAGGAUUCCCUCAGUAACGGCGAGUGAAGCGGGAAGAGCUCAAAUUUGAAAUCUUCAAGGUUUUACCUUGACGAAUUGUAGUUUAAAGAAGUGUUUUCUGUUGAAGUUUUCGGUAAAAGUUCUUUGGAAUAGGACAUCAUAGAGGGUGAGAAUCCCGUAUUUGACCAUUAUUUCCAGCUGUGUGAUACACUUUCAAAGAGUCGGAUUGUUUGGGAAUGCAGUCCAAAAUGGGUGGUAAAUUUCAUCUAAAGCUAAAUACUGGCGAGAGACCGAUAGCGAACAAGUACCGUGAGGGAAAGAUGAAAAGAACUUUGAAAAGAGAGUUAAACAGUACGUGAAAUUGUCAAAAGGGAAGCGUUUGACACCAGUGUUGUUUUCUCGAAAAUCAAUUAAAAAUGGUGGAUUUUGUGUUGUAUUGACUUUAGCAGCUUUCUUCACUUUUUUCAUUGUCUUUUUUAAUGCACUUUUCGUUUAACAAGUACAACAUCAGUUUCUUUUGCUGUAAAAGAGUCAUUGGAAGGUGGCUUUCUUUUCGGAGAAAGUGUUUAUAGCCUUUGACUUCUGCAGUCGGAGAGACUGAGGUCUGCAGCGUAGAUCCUUCGGGGUUAGAUGCAUUUGUGCUAAGUUAUAGCCUUUCAUAGACAACUUGUUGACUAUGAUCAGUCAUGUAGCUUACUCGCUUAUGUUAUUUUACCUACGCUUAGGAUGUUGAUCUCUCACAGUCGAGC
rnacentral:rRNA from 1 species